UACAGAGGGUGCGAGCGUUGUCCGGAAUCACUGGGCGUAAAGGGCGCGUAGGUGGUGGCUUAAGCGUGCGGUGAAAGCUCGGGGCUCAACCCCGAGUCGGCCGUGCGAACUGGGCUCACUGGAGCAUAGUAGAGGCGAGUGGAAUUCCUGGUGUAGCGGUGAAAUGCGCAGAUAUCAGGAGGAACACCAAUUGCGAAGGCAGCUCGCUGGGACGUUACUGACGCUGAGACGCGAAAGCGUGGGGAGCAAACAGG
rnacentral:rRNA from 1 species